GGCCAUUCCCACCUCUCUAGAGAGGAAGAGUGGGGCUGAUGCUGGGAGCAGCACGAGGGAAGCACCUCCCUACGCUCAGCGGGCUUCGGCAGUGAGAACCGGGUCGUGCGCGGCACUGGCGAGGAAGUGGGACCCUCACGCGAGGAAUCCAGCCCCCUCGAACCGUCAGGUCGCUGGGCUGGGGCUCGUGCCAAAGCCACAGCCCUGGGAGCCUGCGCCCUAGAACACUGUCCGGCCACCUGCCACCCUCCACAUAAGUCCCCCUCCUGAGAGGUGACUGCCCCGGCACUGUCCUGCACCGGGGACCUUGGCUUCCCGGCAGGUUUCUCCGGAAGUCCCAAGGCAGUUCACUGGGAGUCAGCCUCAGGGACUGCUCCCUGCUCAGCACCCUGGGCUGGAGCCUCCAUCCUGGGUCUGGCCUUCGAUUCAGAACCCUAACAGCAAGAUCUGGAAGCGCCAAAGAGAAAUGGAGAGACUGGCAGUUCCCAGGAGGGGACAAGGGUGCCAGAAGUCAUGCAAGAAAACCCCCGCAGCCGAGGAACCUGGGACGGCUUGGACAGAUUUCCUAGAGUCUUGAGAGCUGUUAAAAGGUGAGAGACAUAGAGGAAUUUCAGCAGGAACUGAAGGCGACCGGCUCAGUGGAUGGAGAAAUGAGGGCUCAGAAAGAAGCAGCCAGGUGUGGACCAAAUUCUUAGCCUUCAGAUCUUCAGGAAUCUGCAAAUGUGAGAGCUCAGAAUCACUGCAGGGCUUUAAAUGCAGAUCCAGAGUCACCGGGAAAGAUACUGGAAGCUCACGAACUCCCCGUGAGGUGGCUGCUCGUGUUAUUCACAACUUUACAGGUGUGGAAACUGAGGCCCAGGCAAUAAAGCCACGCAUCCCGGGCUGAA